rnacentral:rRNA from 1 species
AACUAUUAAAAACUUUGAUAAUAUACUACAGAUAUUAUCCGCCAGGGGACUACAAGCGCUAGCUUAAAACCCAAAGGACUUGGCGACACCUUAGAUCCCCCUAGAGGAGCCCGUUCUAUAACCGAUGAUCCUCGUUAAACCUCACCAUCCUUUGUAAAUCCAGCCUAUAUACCGCCGUCGUCAGCUUACCUUGUGAAGGAUUAGUAGUAAGCUUAAUGGGUAUGGCCCAGAACGUCAGGUCGAGGUGUAGCUAAUGGGAUGGGAAGAAAUGGGCUACAUUUUCUGGUUCAGAAUACUACGGAUAAUGCCUUGAAACAGGCAUUGUGAAGGUGGAUUUAGCAGUAAAGAGGAAGUAGAG